GCAGAAUGUGAGGGUAUUUUGGGGCAGAAUUUAUGGCUUUUUUUUUUUUUUGAUAUUGCAGAAAAACCUUUCUUGGCCCUCCUCAAUGGUUUAGGAAGAUCCUGACUGUCAGGGUGUAUCAAGUUAAGUGCAACAUGAAGAAUGAGGCAAUAUGAAGAAAAAUCAUACGUACAGCAGUCCCAAAUCUCCAAGAAAGCACUUCAGUUGAAGAAAUAGUUAAUUUGAUUAGUCAUGAAGAGGCCUGCUCUGAUGGACUGCAGCUAUUCCUGUGGAAAGCAGACUGAAGUUCCAUGUGCUCUGCGACUGAGACAGCAAAGGUCAUUCAAGUGCACAGAUGUGGGAUGUUCAGCAUACUGGCCAAAAAGAAAUUCCAAACUCCAGAAAACGUAGCACCAGGAUGGAAUACAUAUAACCACAUCACUAGAAGAAUGACUGUGAGUCUUUAAGGCAGUGCCUAUGGAAAAGAAUAAAAGGCCCAACAGGCGCCGGUAAGAACUGGAUUUUUGUUUCUGUGACACCAUUUGUUUUCUAUUAUGGAUAUUUGCGUCUUAGGUUAACAUUCCUCUGAGAUAAGACCUCAUACCUGAUAACAUUCAUCCCCAGGCCAGGCCACAGAUCUAUGUCCCUGGCACCAUACAACUAUUUCUGUCUGAAAUCCAAAGUACUCCCAAGAACCACAUCACUUUAUCUUUC
ensembl:lncRNA